rnacentral:pre_miRNA from 1 species
AGUGAAAUUGCUGGAUUAUAUGGUAAACUUAGUGUUUAACCCUUUGAGGAACUGGGAAAUUCUUUUUCAAACCUGCCUCACCAUUAUACAUUCCACCAGCAGU